UGUACUGUGGAGAUUCCCUCUCUCACCUUGGAUGUGUCCCCUGUGCCAGGGAUUCAGAGAAGGACAGGGUUGCUGGAUUUGAACCAGCAAAUCUUGCUGAGUGACUGAAAGUUAUUACCAGCUGAUGUCUGAAAUUAAUGUGGUGAAAUAAGUCCAUUCCAACUGAAAGGUGUCCAUAUCACAAAACAGCCACCACGAAUGCACUUGGUGAGUCCCUGAGGGGUAGUGUCAGCACAAAGGACUGUGGCUAUGAAGGGUGAUCUAUUCUCCUACCCCAGAAAGGGGUCCAUCCAUCUAUCUGAGGCAUUUUGGAGAGGUGGUAUGGAAAAGCUUGCAUGGCUGCUGUGUGUGCUGUCAGCAAGCACACAGCAACAAGGAUGCCAGCCUGGCAGCAAGCACUCCUGACAAUUAAAAAAAAA